UUGCUAAGAUUCACUGUAUGUGACCCAUUCAUUACUGAUGGCUGUCAGACUAAAUGCUGAAAUGAGAGGAUUUGUCACAAUGGCUACUUCUGUUUAGUAAUUUUGCACAUUUUUGCUCUUUUUUUUCAGUCAUUUCAGAUACUGCCAUUCCCCACCUGCCCUGUAGUUGCCACCAAUCCCAGCCACCUGAUCCCAUUCCCUCAUUAUGUCCUCUGCAUAUAUACUGACCUUCUCUCGUCAGUCAUUUGCCAGAUCGUCUAAUGUACUACCCAGUCUUAGCAUUCCAGCCUUUAUUCCUGACCACACCUUGCUCCCGGUUUCGCCUGCCUGCCUGCCCCUUACCUGCUUAGUUUGCCCUCGCUGACUGAUUACACUGCUUUGAAGUCCAAGUAAAUAAUUGAUUGCUUUCAACUGCUCUGCCUCUGAAUCCUGCCUAACUCAUAGCCUUCCUGUUUGCACUCAUGGGAGCGGAUGAGGAGCUGGAGGUUGUGUCUUCCCAGCACUUCCUCAGUGACAUCUGGCCCCCAGUAGCAGCCUCCGCCUCGCACCUCAUUGGGAAUGCAGCCAUUUUGGGGCAUUGGGUCACUCCACAACAUGUCCACUAUCUGGGUGGCCGAAUCAAUCACAGUGAAACAUCUGUACUGUUAAUUAACCCACCAAACGACUACUCCGAGUCUGAGUCAGAGUCAGACUUCUUCAGUUCACCGUAGGACUGGUCAAACCCAGCCAGUUUGCGCCUCUUUUUCAGCUCCUCCUCCACUGACCAGUUGAGUUGACUGCUCAUGGGCACGUUGUGGAGCGAACGGCGUGGCAAGCCGUGCCUGUGAGCCGGGGCUGAGCUGUGAUGGACAUCAUUGGGAUAGACCAGCAGGAACCCAAACAGGAUGAGCAGGAUCUCUAAGGAGUUUUUGCCACGAUCCACAAAGUCUCCAUUGAAGACAUACGGUUUCUCAGAGGACGGCAAACCAUUCUGGAAAGAUUAAGUUAAAGACUGAAAGAUGUUCCACGUGCACCUGCGUCUCAUCUCCAGCCGGGCAACAUACUGACGGUACCAGCGCUGGAUUAACAGAGCCGCUCUGAUUGCUGAUGAUUGGGAGAGAGAAAGGAAGUACUUGGUCAUAACUGUGCUGAGCUCCCCUGCUGUGUGGAGUCCCUCAGGUGUCGGUCCUUGGACCAAUCCUCUUCUCAUUGUACAUGCUUCCUCUGGGUCAUUUGUUCAGCCGCUUUCUUCAGCCGUCUUAUCACUGUUAUGCCAAUGAUACACAGAUUUAUUUCUCUACCAAACCCAAUAAUGUGAAUCAACUGUCCUCCCUCCAUGAUUGCUUAGCCGCCACCAAAGUUUGGAUGUCUCAUAAUUUCCUCCACCUAAACUCUGACAAAACAGAAGUUCUUUUAAUUGGACCCGAUAACUUUGCCACUGCAGUUGAUCAGUUUAUUGGACCAUUUCACUCUAUUAUCAAAUCUACCGCUAAGAAUCUUGGAGUCAUCUUUGACCAGUAUAUGACUUUUGACCAUCAUGUUACCAAGCUCUUCCAGACCUGUUUUCUUCAGCUAAGAAAUAUUGCUAAAAUCAUUUAUCUUGUCUUCUACGGAUCUGAAACUAUUAGUUCACACUUUCAUUUUCUCCCGUCUAGAUUAUUGUAAUUCCCUCUACACGUGCCUCAGUCAAGCUGCUCUAAACUGUUUACGGUUGGUCCAAAACGCAGCUGCCAGGCUGCCAACUAGAACUAGCCUUCGGUUCCACAUUACCCCUGUUCAUGCAUCCCUUCAGUGGCUUCCUGUAAAAUUCAGAAUAAACGACAAGAUUUUGUUGAUUACAUAUAAGACUCUGUAUGACCUUGUCCCCAGUUACAUUUCUGAUCUCCUUGUUCCUCAUUCCACUUCUCGACCACUCAGAUCUCGAAUCUCUGCCUUUUAUCCAUCCCCCGCUCCUACCUCAAAACAAAAGGUGAUCGAGCCUUCACUGUUUUAGCCCCAACCCUCUGGAAUCAUAUUCCACAAACAGAUUAUAUCAGAUUUGCUGAAUCUUUAGACUGCUUUAAGCGGCUUCUAAAAACCCACCUCCAUAGGCAAGCCUUUUUAUAGAUCUCCAUCCCUGUCUUACAAUAUAUUUUGGUUUGUUUCAGUUUGGUUUUGUGCUGUGUUUUUGUAUUGUAAUUUAUCUUUAUUUAUCUAUUCAUUUACAUUUUCCGUGUGUGUAUGUGUGAAGCACUUUGUAACUG